GGGAGUAUAGCUCAGUGGUACAGCACAUGCUUAGUAUGCCUAAGGUCCUGGGUUCAAUCCCCAUUACCUCCA
rnacentral:tRNA from 1 species